GAAAGAAAGAAAGAAAGAAAGAAAGAAAGAAAGAAAUUAAAUAAUGUACUGUAGAGAAACUCAAAGUGGAAUGAAGGACUUUUAUGUUGCAAGGCUUUCAGAGCAGAUUUUCAGUGAUGUCAUUUUUACACAAUUCCCUUGAAUAGGCUAGCACCUGUGUGCAUGGGGGUUGUCUGUCUGUCAGCUUUGAGUAAAAAACAUAACCCAUGCCAGCAAAAACAUAUCCAUCAGUAUUCCCGACUGCCCAUUGAGACAGUCUGUGUCCUUACUCCUUGGAGACCAAAGCAUACAGCACUCUUCUUAAAGACAAGGCGUUUGGAAGUGUAGAUAUUGGAUUGGCACCCACUUUUUACAGCCCAAAACCAUCUUGAAGUGUGGCUUCCAUGUAGUGCUUUCUUAUUUUCCUCUCUUUUCUCAAAUUUUUGUCCAAUUCUUAAGUGCUUUUCAGGUUCCCAUAAUAGGCCACCGUUUCUUUCUGUCAGGGUUCGCCGUUUUCCACGCGCAGAUCAAGCCCAUCUGGAUGACCCUUCUAGGUGCCUAAAUUGAAACAUGGAGGCAACGUUGCAGAACUGACAAGACAUCUGGCCGUAUCAAAAUGAGCAGAGACCCGUUCAUCCUUUUCCAUUGACUUUCCAAAGCAAUGAGGGUAUGGAAGGGACUGCAGAGAUUUUUGAGAGUGAUGUUUUCCAUCUUCCCGUGCUGCCAGUUGAGAGGACAAAAUUCGAAAGACAGUUACGUGGCAGGCUAUUCCUCGGAAGUCACUCAUGUCAGGCUUCUCCGAUGCACAACUGUGCUGCGCGGCUGUCAGCGUUGCGGUCUCAUUCAACACUGGAGACUUUGGCGCCAUCCCUGCGGACACCACUUCUGCCGUGAGUGCAUGGAUCAGAUCAUAGAUGAUGGUUUCCGCGACAUCGAGGGGCUUGGCUCAAGUCCCUGUCCACAGUGUAAAUCAGUUGUAGCCUAUUAAAUGUGUAACCGUGACUGUAUGUUAGUGCCUUUUUCUGAGUUUGUGUAACCUUUUCUUUUUCAUUGCACUUUGUAGUCCCUGCAUGUCCCUAUUGCCCAGGCAAUUCAACAGAACUAUGGUAUCAUCAAGACAAAGGACAAGCAAUACUACUUCACCACUUAUCUAGUCAGUCAGAGCAGAUUUUCAUUGUCAUCUUUUGGACAUUCUAUUCUAUGCAUUAAUUAGUGUGUGUAGUAGGACAAGGUUACAGUAAAUGACAUGAAUAUAUCUUAAUAUAACUAUCUAAAUGUAGCUGAUGCUAAACUCCAUCCAAUACAAACGACUAUUUAUGAAUAUUAACAACUCAGGCUCCUAGGCAAGGUUGGGGAGAAACUGAUUGCAUGUAAUCAUGUACAUGUAAUCUGAUUACAAAAAGGUAGUCCCAGCUAAAAUUGUGUAAUCAGGUUACAGAUACUUUGAAAAACUAGAUGAUUACUCCUUGGAUUGCUUGCUUGCGACAAAAUACAUUAUAACACUUUUCCUUUUCUCAAUGACUUUCAUUUCAGCCUUGAAAAAAAGGGCAAAUUUAGUUUGUUCCACCUGAGCGAGUCUGACCACAAAUUAGAGACCACUAUGAUGGCACACCAAAUGCGUUUGAUGGAUCCUUUUUGUCUUCUAAUGCCUCUUAAGGGGAAAGUAAUCUAAAAGUAACUGAAAUUAAUAAUAUUACAUUACUGGGUAUGGGUAAUCCAAAAUUACUGAUUACAAUUUUUGACAGGUAACUAGUAACUGUAACGGAUUAUAUUUAGUAAGUAAGCUACCCAACUCUGCUUAUAUGAUAGA